GACGAACGCUGGCGGCGUGCCUAAUACAUGCAAGUCGAACGCAGUGGGGACGGGUGCGUAACACGUGGGUAACCUCCCAUCAGAGGGCGUAACCCUUAGAAAAAGGUGCUAAACCGCUACUGAUGGAUGGACCCGCGGUGCAUUAGCUAGUUGGUGGGGUAACGGCUCACCAAGGCCACGAUGCAUAGCCGAACUGAGAGGGUGAUCGGCCACACUGGGACUGAGACACGGCCCAGACUCCUACGGGAGGCAGCAGUAGGGAAUCUUCGGCAAUGGACGAAAGUCUGACCGAGCAACGCCGCGUGAGUGAAGAAGGUUUUCGGAUCGUAAAACUCUGUUGUUAGAGAAGCGGUAUCUAACCAGAAAGCAACGGCUAACUACGUGCCAGCAGCCGCGGUAAUAC
rnacentral:rRNA from 1 species